UGAGGAAUAUUGGGCAAUGCCCGCAAGGGUGACCCAGCAACGCCGCGUGGAGGAUGAAUGUCGUAAGAUUGUAAACUCCUGUUAGAGGGGAAGAAUAGUCCCGGUUGGACCGGUAUAUGACUGUACCCUCAGAGAAAGCCCCGGCUAACUACGUGCCAGCAGCCGCGGUAAUACGUAGGGGGCAAGCGUUGUCCGGAUUUACUGGGUGUAAAGGGCGCGCAGGCGGGAUAAAAAGUCAGUGGUGAAAUCCUACAGCUUAACUGUAGAACUGCCUUUGAUACUUUUAUUCUUGAGUUCGGGAGAGAGAGACGGAAUUCCAGGUGUAGUGGUGAAAUACGUAGAUAUCUGGAAGAACACCAGUUGCGAAGGCGGUCUCUUGGUCCGACACUGACGCUGAGGCGCGAAAGCGUGGGGAGCAUACA
rnacentral:rRNA from 1 species